rnacentral:rRNA from 1 species
GUGUCAGCCGCCGCGGUAAUACGAAGGUCCCAAGCGUUGUUCGGAAUCACUGGGCGUAAAGGGAGCGUAGGCUGUGAGGUAAGUCGGGUGUGAAAUCCCGGGGCUCAACCCCGGAACUGCACUCGAUACUGCUUUACUAGAGGACUGGAGAGGAGAUUGGAAUUCUCGGUGUAGCAGUGAAAUGCGUAGAUAUCGAGAGGAACACCUGUGGCGAAAGCGAAUCUCUGGACAGUUCCUGACGCUGAGGCUCGAAGGCUAGGGUAGCGAAAGGGAUUAGAUACCCGCGUAGUCC